CCUACGGGUGGCAGCAGUGGGGAAUAUUGCACAAUGGGGGAAACCCUGAUGCAGCGACGCCGCGUGGGGGAAGAAGUUUUUCGGAAUGUAAAGCUCUAUCAUCAGGGACGAAAAUGACGGUACCUGAUUAAAAAGCCCCGGCUAACUACGUGCCAGCAGCCGCGGUAAUACGUAGGGGGCAAGCGUUAUCCGGAUUUACUGGGUGUAAAGGGAGCGUAGGCGGGAGCGCAAGUCUGAAGUGAAAUGCCGGGGCUUAACCCUCGAACUGCUUUUGAAACUGUGCUUCUAGAGUGCAGGAGAGGUAAGCGGAAUUCCUAGUGUAGCGGUGAAAUGCGUAGAUAUUAGGAGGAACACCAGUGGCGAAGGCGGCUUACUGGACUGUAACUGACGUUGAGGCUCGAAAGCGUGGGGAGCAAACAGGAUUAGAUACCCGUGUAGUC
rnacentral:rRNA from 1 species